UGGGCUCCGCCAUCUUUCUGGUUUGCAUUCUAACACCAGUUACCAUAUAUUAUAGCAUUGUAUGAUUCAUUCCUUUUUCGGCCUCACUGUGAUGAUGUCUUCUUUUUAUAUCCCCUGGCAAUCCAUUUUAAUUUAUUGGACUACCUACUAGAUUGAAUAGCUUUUGGCAUAGUUAUCAUGGAUCUAAAUCACGGUCGUGGUUGCUGGUAACAGAAAUGGGUUUGUAACGAUUGUAAUGUAGCAAUAGAAGCUUAUCGCCAUGGAAAUUUUUUUGAGAAAUUGCAAAGUUUAUGAAAUGAGUAG
rnacentral:misc_RNA from 1 species